rnacentral:rRNA from 1 species
GACGAACGCUGGCGGCGUGCCUAAUACAUGCAAGUAGAACGCUGAAGGAGGAGCUUGCUUCUCUGGAUGAGUUGCGAACGGGUGAGUAACGCGUAGGUAACCUGCCUGGUAGCGGGGGAUAACUAUUGGAAACGAUAGCUAAUACCGCAUAAUAUUGACUAUUGCAUGAUAGUUGAUUAAAAGGUGCAAUUGCAUCACUACCAGAUGGACCUGCGUUGUAUUAGCUAGUUGGUGGGGUAACGGCUCACCAAGGCGACGAUACAUAGCCGACCUGAGAGGGUGAUCGGCCACACUGGGACUGAGACACGGCCCAGACUCCUACGGGAGGCAGCAGUAGGGAAUCUUCGGCAAUGGACGGAAGUCUGACCGAGCAACGCCGCGUGAGUGAAGAAGGUUUUCGGAUCGUAAAGCUCUGUUGUAAGAGAAAGAAACGAGUGUGAGAAGUGAAAAGUUCCACCACUG